rnacentral:tRNA from 1 species
GAGAGGUGGCAGAGUCUGGUUGAAUGCACCGGUCUUGAAAACCGACAACGGGUUAAACCGUUCGAGGGUUCGAAUCCCUCCCUCUCC